UACGUAGGUCCCGAGCGUUGUCCGGAUUUAUUGGGCGUAAAGCGAGCGCAGGUGGUUUAUUAAGUCUGGUGUAAAAGGCAGGGGCUUAACCCCUGAACCGCUUUGGAAACUGCCAUGCUAGAGUGCUGGAGAGGUAAGUGGAAUUCCUAGUGUAGCGGUGAAAUGCGUAGAUAUUAGGAGGAACACCAGUGGCGAAGGCGGCUUACUGGACAGUAACUGACGUUGAGGCUCGAAAGCGUGGGGAGCAAACAGG
rnacentral:rRNA from 1 species